rnacentral:tRNA from 2 species
GGUUCUAUAGUGUAGCGGUUAUCACUCCGGAUUCUGACCUCGUGUAGGAUAUUCCGGCAACCCCGGUUCGAUUCCGGGUAGGACCU